GGUACAUGUUGCGCAAAAAUUAUUGGUCAGUGAUUUUGCUACAAGACCGACCUGAGAGAGACAGCGAGGCAUCAGAGCCAUGAUGAAGACUUUGUGUGUUGCUGUUGUUGUGCUGAGUCUCACCUCAGUGUGCCAGCCUGCGCCGCUGGUCUGUGAGAAGCUGCAGAAGAGAGUGGACAAAGCUACAGACUUGUCUGGGAGAUGGCACUGCAUAGCCAUCUCUACUGAGUUCUGUGUGGCUACAACAAUACUGAAUGCUAUUUAUUGGCCCAGCGUUGCAGUGGACUUUACCUCUAAGGACACACCGGACAUCUACACUGUCAACACAAAAUUUUAACUGUAGGAGGCAGAAUGUCUCUGCUGCUGAGCUGAAGGAGUUUGAGAAACAGGCAGAGUGCCUCGGCUUGACCAAUCUGCAGGUCCUAAACACAGAUCACGACUACAAAAACUGCUUAAGAGAGGAAAAAAUCACUAAUGCUCAUAUGAACGAAAUCAUGUUCAAAGGUCUUGAAAGGUUGAAAAACAAAGCCCUAGAUAUCAUGAAAUGUAUACCUCCACAGUUCCGUUUUGAGAGCUAAAUGGCGGGAAGGUUGAUACCAUAUCAGACAAACCUCUGAAUGAAUGCUACUUUUGAUUACUGAAUUGGAUUAAAAAAUAAAAUAAAGACUACCAUUCUA